ensembl:snoRNA U3 Small nucleolar RNA U3
AAGACUACACUUAUUUCAGGGAUCAUUUCUAUAGUUCGACACUGGGGCAGUUUCUCUGCAGAGCAGCGGACACCACAGGAGGCGGAAUGGCAUUCUCUCCUGAGCCUUAAGCUGGCUCUGCGUGCUGCUCUGCUGCAAGUGCCACACGCCAUCAAUGACUGUUACUGCUCUCCUUUGGGAGGGCUGCAGGGAGAGAAUGCAGUCUGAGGGGA